CAGCCGCCGCGGUAAUACGUAGGUCCCGAGCGUUGUCCGGAUUUAUUGGGCGUAAAGCGAGCGCAGGCGGUUAGAUAAGUCUGAAGUUAAAGGCUGUGGCUUAACCAUAGUAUGCUUUGGAAACUGUUUAACUUGAGUGCAGAAGAGGAGAGCGGAAUUCCAUGUGUAGCGGUGAAAUGCGUAGAUAUAUGGAGGAACACCAGUGGCGAAGGCGGCUCUCUGGUCUGUAACUGACGCUGAGGCUCGAAAGCCAGGGGAGCGAACGGGAUUAGAUACCCCAGUAGUCCCUGUCUCUUAUACA
rnacentral:rRNA from 1 species